UUGACUGCGAGCGUGACGGCGCGAGCAGGUGCGAAAGCAGGUCAUAGUGAUCCGGUGGUUCUGAAUGGAAGGGCCAUCGCUCAACGGAUAAAAGGUACUCCGGGGAUAACAGGCUGAUACCGCCCAAGAGUUCAUAUCGACGGCGGUGUUUGGCACCUCGAUGUCGGCUCAUCACAUCCUGGGGCUGAAGUAGGUCCCAAGGGUAUGGCUGUUCGCCAUUUAAAGUGGUACGCGAGCUGGGUUUAGAACGUCGUGAGACAGUUCGGUCCCUAUCUGCCGUGGGCGCUGGAGAACUGAGGGGGGCUGCUCCUAGUACGAGAGGACCGGAGUGGACGCAUCACUGGUGUUCGGGUUGUCAUGCCAAUGGCACUGCCCGGUAGCUAAAUGCGGAAGAGAUAAGUGCUGAAAGCAUCUAAGCACGAAACUUGCCCCGAGAUGAGUUCUCCCUGAGACUUAAAGUCUCCUGAAGGAACGUUGAAGACGACGACGUUGAUAGGCCGGGUGUGUAAGCGCAGCGAUGCGUUGAGCUAACCGGUACUAAUGAACCGUGAGGCUUAACCUU
rnacentral:rRNA from 1 species